GGUUGGUCCAGAUUUGGGGUGUACGUGACUACCACUGUUUGUGUUAUACAUGAUCAGGAGAAUGAACAGGAAGAAUAUGGAAUCCACUUAACACAUGUGGUGUCGCCAGGAGGAGCAUGAUUCUGCCAGCAUUGACUAGACUUAUCUCUGAUAUGUUUUCAAUCUGCAAAACUGAGAAGCUAGUAAAUUUGUAUCAAUUUAGACUCUUUUCUUCAAUGAGAAGUGAGUUGAAGAAGUGGCACUCAGAAAUUACCUUUGAGUUAUCCAGCUGCUGGAAAUCUAAGAGCUGUCCAGAGGCAAGAAAUACUUAAAACUUAGAGUGGUUAAGGUGAUGGAGGGUGCCCCGUGACCAGCUGAUGAAGGAAGGAAACGGUUAACUUGAUCACAAGGACGGUGGCUAAAAGUGGACACCCAACUCUCUACACCCCCUUGAGGAUGGCCUUGAAAACCAGGCAAGGUAUGACAAGAACAGAUGUGAAUUUUGGAAAGGUGACUGGCUCCAGGGUGAUGAACUAGUUGAAGGGAAGCCACACUCCUGUCAGAAGACCAGCUGAAGUUACUGCAGUGGAGGAAGGUCAGAGCCCAUGGAGGCAGGUCAGAGCCCUGCAUGGCCUACAACUUUGUAGCAACAAGCACGUCUAUGGCGCAGGCCUUGAGAUAUGAGUACCAUCCUACUGUCACCGGGACCUUGGAGCAAAGGCUGCUUCCAGGUUUAGAGAAGGGAAAGUAAAAGGACAGCCUUGUUAGGUUAGAAAGUAACUAACCUAGUAACUAGAACUGCUCAAGAAAUUACAGCAGUGCAUUAGCAUGAUUCAGAGCCAAGGAAUUCCUACUGGUUAGAUGUAGGACACUUUGAGCAGCAAAAUUAUAAUAUGGUCAUGGUCAUGGAUUAUAAUCCACUGAAGACACAAACAGAAUCUGUGAGUACAAUGAUAAAGGUAGGUAUGGAGGGAAAACUCCCCCAGCUAAUAAAUGUACAAUGACUAAUGGAAAAUCAGUAUUUUGGCAAACCUAUGUAAUAAUUAGCUCAAGCAAGAACCACCAAUGUACACUAGGUUCACUGCAAUGAAAGAAUAUUCGGCCUUAAACAUCACCCCACAGAUGACUUUUUACAAAGAGAAAACAGUAUCUUUACAGGACUGAUGUGGUAAUACUACCUAACAAGUGAUCAUAUUUAGCAUAAUUAAUAUCAGAACAAAAGGGAGCACCUGGGGAGCUUUGUCAGUGACGUGUCUGCCUUCAGCUCGGAUCAUGGUCUCAGGGUCCUGGGA